AUUGAACGCUGGCGGCAUGCCUUACACAUGCAAGUCGAACGGUAACAGGUUAAGCUGACGAGUGGCGAACGGGUGAGUAAUAUAUCGGAACGUGCCCAGUUGUGGGGGAUAACUGCUCGAAAGAGCAGCUAAUACCGCAUACGACCUGAGGGUGAAAGCGGGGGAUCGCAAGACCGCGCGCAAUUGUAGCGGCCGAUAUCAGAUUAGGUAGUUGGUGGGGUAAAGGCUCACCAAGCCGACGAUCUGUAGCUGGUCUGAGAGGACGACCAGCCACACUGGGACUGAGACACGGCCCAGACUCCUACGGGAGGCAGCAGUGGGGAAUUUUGGACAAUGGACGCAAGUCUGAUCCAGCCAUGCCGCGUGCGGGAAGAAGGCCUUCGGGUUGUAAACCGCUUUUGUCAGGGAAGAAACGGCUCCUUCUAAUACAGGGGGCUAAUGACGGUACCUGAAGAAUAAGCACCGGCUAACUACGUGCCAGCCGCCGCCGUAA
rnacentral:rRNA from 1 species